rnacentral:rRNA from 1 species
UCUGAGUUUGAUCCUGGCUCAGGACGAACGCUGGCGGCGUGCCUAAUACAUGCAAGUCGAGCGGACAGAAGGGAGCUUGCUCCCGGAUGUUAGCGGCGGACGGGUGAGUAACACGUGGGUAACCUGCCUGUAAGACUGGGAUAACUCCGGGAAACCGGAGCUAAUACCGGAUAGUUCCUUGAACCGCAUGGUUCAAGGAUGAAAGACGGUUUCGGCUGUCACUUACAGAUGGACCCGCGGCGCAUUAGCUAGUUGGUGGGGUAAUGGCUCACCAAGGCGACGAUGCGUAGCCGACCUGAGAGGGUGAUCGGCCACACUGGGACUGAGACACGGCCCAGACUCCUACGGGAGGCAGCAGUAGGGAAUCUUCCGCAAUGGACGAAAGUCUGACGGAGCAACGCCGCGUGAGUGAUGAAGGUUUUCGGAUCGUAAAACUCUGUUGUUAGGGAAGAACAAGUACCGUUCGAAUAGGGCGGUACCUUGACGGUACCUAACCAGAAAGCCACGGCUAACUACGUGCCAGCAGCCGCGGUAAUACGUAGGUGGCAAGCGUUGUCCGGAAUUAUUGGGCGUAAAGCGCGCGCAGGCGGUUUCUUAAGUCUGAUGUGAAAGCCCCCGGCUCAACCGGGGAGGGUCAUUGGAAACUGGGGAACUUGAGUGCAGAAGAGGAGAGUGGAAUUCCACGUGUAGCGGUGAAAUGCGUAGAGAUGUGGAGGAACACCAGUGGCGAAGGCGACUCUCUGGUCUGUAACUGACGCUGAGGCGCGAAAGCGUGGGGAGCGAACAGGAUUAGAUACCCUGGUAGUCCACGCCGUAAACGAUGAGUGCUAAGUGUUAGAGGGUUUCCGCCCUUUAGUGCUGCAGCAAACGCAUUAAGCACUCCGCCUGGGGAGUACGGUCGCAAGACUGAAACUCAAAGGAAUUGGCGGGGGCCCGCACAAGCGGUGGAGCAUGUGGUUUAAUUUGAAGCAACGCGAAGAACCUUACCAGGUCUUGACAUCCUCUGACAACCCUAGAGAUAGGGCUUUCCCUUCGGGGACAGAGUGACAGGUGGUGCAUGGUUGUCGUCAGCUCGUGUCGUGAGAUGUUGGGUUAAGUCCCGCAACGAGCGCAACCCUUGAUCUUAGUUGCCAGCAUUCAGUUGGGCACUCUAAGGUGACUGCCGGUGACAAACCGGAGGAAGGUGGGGAUGACGUCAAAUCAUCAUGCCCCUUAUGACCUGGGCUACACACGUGCUACAAUGGACAGAACAAAGGGCUGCAAGACCGCAAGGUUUAGCCAAUCCCAUAAAUCUGUUCUCAGUUCGGAUCGCAGUCUGCAACUCGACUGCGUGAAGCUGGAAUCGCUAGUAAUCGCGGAUCAGCAUGCCGCGGUGAAUACGUUCCCGGGCCUUGUACACACCGCCCGUCACACCACGAGAGUUUGCAACACCCGAAGUCGGUGAGGUAACCUUUAUGGAGCCAGCCGCCGAAGGUGGG